UCUUCAUGAUAAUCUCUCGUUAUUUUAUAUAACGCAAUUGCGUAAAGGACAUGAGCUUACAUGAAUGAAAUAUAUUCGGGACGAUUAAUAUAAAUAGCCGUUUGAUUAUUAUUAAUUCAUAAAGUAAAUAGUCAACGUCCCGAUAGCUUCUGGAUAAAUCGUAGCAAAGGCUUUACUCAACUACUGUACGAGAUGUUUAACAUGAAGAUAUUUUUGUUGGCAGUUUUGGUAGUGGCUUUGUUUGCUGCCGAAACCUUCGCAUGCGGCCAACCCGGCGCAGGAUGCGGCAGCGACUCGGCUUGCUGCUCCGGUUCAUGUCAAAGAGCUAUGAGGUCAUUUUACGCAUGUGCAUAAGCUAUUUUUUAAAAAUGAAUCAGUUAAAAUCAUGUGACAAUCACUAUUUGGCAAUGAAUAGUCACUAUUUUCACUAUUUCAAACCGAAAUUAAAAGAUGUAGUCUGAAUAUAGAAAUGUCAUUUGCUUACUAAAAAUUUCAAAAUUGUAUUUGAAUAUAUUAAAAAAUAAAUAUUUUCUACGGCCUCACG